rnacentral:rRNA from 1 species
AGAGUUUGAUCCUGGCUCAGGACGAACGCUGGCGGCGUGCUUAACACAUGCAAGUCGAGCGGAGAUGAGGUGCUUGCACCUUAUCUUAGCGGCGGACGGGUGAGUAAUGCUUAGGAAUCUGCCUAUUAGUGGGGGACAACAUUCCGAAAGGAAUGCUAAUACCGCAUACGUCCUACGGGAGAAAGCAGGGGACCUUCGGGCCUUGCGCUAUCAGAUGAGCCUAGGUCGGAUUAGCUUGUUGGUGAGGUAAUGGCUCACCAAGGCGACGAUCCGUAACUGGUCUGAGAGGAUGAUCAGUCACACUGGAACUGAGACACGGUCCAGACUCCUACGGGAGGCAGCAGUGGGGAAUAUUGCACAAUGGGCGGAAGCCUGAUGCAGCAACGCCGCGUGCGGGAUGACGGCCUUCGGGUUGUAAACCGCUUUCGCUCAUGACGAAGCGUGAGUGACGGUAAUGGGUAAAGAAGCACCGGCUAACUACGUGCCAGCAGCCGCGGUGAUACGUAGGGUGCGAGCGUUGUCCGGAUUUAUUGGGCGUAAAGGGCUCGUAGGUGGUUGAUCGCGUCGGAAGUGUAAUCUUGGGGCUUAACCCUGAGCGUGCUUUCGAUACGGGUUGACUUGAGGAAGGUAGGGGAGAAUGGAAUUCCUGGUGGAGCGGUGGAAUGCGCAGAUAUCAGGAGGAACACCGGUGGCGAAGGCGGUUCUCUGGGCCUUUCCUGACGCUGAGGAGCGAAAGCGUGGGGAGCGAACAGGCUUAGAUACCCUGGUAGUCCACGCUGUAAACGGUGGGUACUAGGUGUGGGGUCCAUUCCACGGGUUCCGUGCCGUAGCUAACGCUUUAAGUACCCCGCCUGGGGAGUACGGCCGCAAGGCUAAAACUCAAAGGAAUUGACGGGGCCCCGCACAAGCGGCGGAGCAUGCGGAUUAAUUCGAUGCAACGCGUAGAACCUUACCUGGGUUUGACAUGGAUCGGGAGUGCUCAGAGAUGGGUGUGCCUCUUUUGGGGUCGGUUCACAGGUGGUGCAUGGCUGUCGUCAGCUCGU